GGGCUCGUGGUCUAGUGGUUAUGACGGGUGUCUCACACACACCAGGUCGCCGGUUCGAAUCCGGCCGAGCCCA
rnacentral:tRNA from 1 species